ACUGCGGUACUAGUGGGUCUAUGGGUCUUACUGCAGUACUAGUGGGUCUAUGGGUCUUACUGCAGUACUAGUGGGUCUAUGGGUCUUACCUUCAGUACUAGUGGGUCUAUGGGUCUUACUGCAGUACUAGUGGGUCUAUGGGUCUUACUGCAGUACUAGUGUGGUUCUACAAUCCAUUGAUCUCAUCCUGAGAUGUUUCAUGAUGAUCUCAGACUGAGGUGAUAUUUCUAAUAAUACUGGGUUGGACAUAGUCACCGCAGAGCGGAGGGCACAACUUGGCUUGUUCAACCGGUUAAUUAAUGUGUGAUAACAGAUAUGUGUGAGAUAUCAGACACUCCUGUGGUUGUGUGUGAUUACUUCAUAGUCUGUGGACUCUAGUGGUUAGUCAGGACUUAGAUACUAACUGACAUGGAACAGAGUCCAUUCCCUGACUACAGUGAAAUAGGCCUACCGCCUACUCCGGAGAUAUGCAUUGGCUUGGGACAGUGAUCCCCAGGAAUCUAUUUAAUUAAUGCACACAGCUUUUUCACUAAUAAAAUGUUGAAAAGACUACAUCACUAUUUAUUGUUACCAAUAUGACCAUUAGAAUAACAAAUUCAAACUGCUGUUUCAUCAUGAUAUCUUGUUGCUGUUAAUCUGCAUUAUAAGGCUGCGUUGAGACAAUGACUUAUUAAAGACCCAAGCCCAGCUCAGUUAAUCCCUACCAUUGUGACGCUGAGUUGUCAUAAUGCUUCAGGCAAAUGUACAUUACACCAGGGGUGUUGGUAGACACAAUGUACGUCACCAAAUAUAUGUCCCUCUAACUGCCUGAAAGCCUCUGUUGAUCCUACAGCUAUUGCCUGCAGUAAUCAUGUGCCUAUGAACCAGAGUUACACUAUUAGCACUAAGGAGGUGUGUCCUAGUAGGAAGACCACUGUUAACACUGAGGAGGUGUGUCCUAGUAGGAAGACCACUGUUAACACUGAGGAGGUGUGUCCUAGUAGGAAGACCACUGUUAACACUGAGGUGGUGUGUCCUCGUAGGAAGACCACUGUUAACACUGAGGAGAUGUGUCCUAGUAGGAAGACCACUGUUAGCACUAAGGAGGUGUGUCCUAGUAGGAAGACCACUGUUAACACUGAGGAGAUGUGUCCUAGUAGGAAGACCACUGAGGUGGUGUGUCCCAGUAGGAAGACCACUGUUAACACUGAGGUGUGUCCUAGUAGGAAGGCCACUGUUAACACUGAGGAGAUGUGUCCUAGUAGGAAGACCACUGUUAGCACUAAGGAGGUGUGUCCUAGUAGGAAGACCACUGAGGUGGUGUGUCCCAGUAGGAAGACCACUGUUACCACUGAGGAGGUGUGUCCAAUAGGAAGACCACUGUUACCACUGAGGAGGUGUGUCCUAGUAGGAAGACCACUGUUAACACUGAGGUGUGUCCUAGUAGGAAGACCACUGAGGUGGUGUGUCCUAGUAGGAAGACCACUGUUAACACUGAGGUGGUGUGUCCUAGUAGGAAGACCACUGUUAACACUGAGGUGGUGUGUCCUAGUAGGAAGACCACUGUUAACACUGAGGAGGUGUGUCCUAGUAGGAAGACCACUGUUAACACUGAGGUGGUGUGUCCUAGUAGGAAGACCACUGUUAACACUGAGGAGGUGUGUCCUAGUAGGAAGACCACUGAGGUGGUGUGUCCUAGUAGGAAGACCACUGUUAACACUGAGGAGGUGUGUCCUAGUAGGAAGACCACUGAGGUGGUGUGUCCCAGUAGGAAGACCACUGUUAACACUGAGGAGGUGUGUCCUAGUAGGAAGACCACUGAGGUGGUGUGUCCUAUAGGAAGACCACUUAACACUGAGGAGGUGUGUCCUAGUAGGAAGACCACUGAGGUGGUGUGUCCUAGUAAGAAGACCACUUAACACUGAGGUGGUGUGUCCUAGUAGGAAGACCACUGAGGAGGUGUGUCCUAGUAGGAAGACCACUGUUAACACUGAGGAGGUGUGUCCUAGUAGGAAGACCACUGAGGUGGUGUGUCCUAUAGGAAGACCACUGUGUGCAUCUCACCCUGCAUUAAUAAAAAAAAAACACAUGAGUAUGUCUGUCUACCUCUGCUAAGCUUCCCAGUAAAGUAAUAAAAACAACCAAGCAUCCCAGAAAUGUGUUAAAAAUAGCCCGUGGUAAUAUAUGUAGCUUAAGAAACAAGGUUCAUCAAGUCAAUAAUUUGCUAGUAACAGAUUACAUUCAUAAUACCUUAGAUGAUACAGUGGUAGCAAUAGAAGGUUAUAACAUUGACAGAGAAGAUAGAAAUGCCAAAGGUGGAGGUGUUGCUGUUUGUAUUCAGAACCACAUUCCUGUGAAGAAUAGAGAGGAUCUCAUGUUAAAUACUGUUGAAGUAAUAUGGCUACAGGUUCAUCUGCCUCACCUAAAGCCCAUUCUGGUGGGAAGCUGCUAUAGACCACCAAGUGCUAACAGUCAGUAUCUGGAUAACGUGUGAAAUGCUUGAUAAUGUAUGUGACAUCAACAGAGAGGUAUAUUUUCUGGGUGAUUUAAAUAUUGACCAGCUUUCAUCAAGCUGCCCACUCAAGGAAAAGCUUUAAAGUGUAAACAGCACAGGAAUGAAAACAGCAACAUGUAUUGAUGUAUUGAUCACAUCUUUACUGAUGCUGCAGAACUCGGCUCUAAAGCAGCAUCCAGGUCCAUUGGAUGUAGUGAUCACAAUAUAGUAGCCAUAACCAGGAAAACCUAAGUUCCAAAGGCUGGAACUUAUAUAGUGUAUAAGAGGUCAUAUAAGACGUUUUGUUGUGAUUCCUAUGUUGUUGAUGUAAAUCAUAUUUGCUGGUCUGUGGUGUGUAAUGAGGAGCAACCAGACGCUGCUGGUCUGUGGUGUGUAAUGAGGAGCAACCAGACGCUGCUGGUCUGUGGU
ensembl:lncRNA